rnacentral:rRNA from 1 species
UCGGCGACCGGCGCACGGGUGCGUAACGCGUAUGCAACCUACCCAUUACAGGGGGAUAACACUGAGAAAUCGGUACUAAUACCCCAUAACAUCCAGGGAGGCAUCUUCUUGGGUUGAAAACUCCGGUGGUACAGGAUGGACCCGCGUCUGAUUAGCUGGUUGGCGGGGUAACGGCCCACCAAGGCGACGAUCAGUAGCCGGCCUGAGAGGGUGAACGGCCACAUUGGGACUGAGAUACGGCCCAGACUCCUACGGGAGGCAGCAG